rnacentral:rRNA from 1 species
AACGGCCGCGGUAUCUUGACCGUGCAAAGGUAGCGCAAUCACUUGUCUUUUAAAUGGAGACCUGUAUGAAUGGCAUAACGAGGGCUUAACUGUCUCCUUUUUCCUAUCAAUGAAAUUGAUCUCCCCGUGCAGAAGCGGGGAUUAAAACAUAAGACGAGAAGACCCUAUGGAGCUUAGAACGCAAGGACAGAAUAAUACUUCUUCAUGCAAAUCAAAAUAUGAAAUAUAAUUAUAAACCUGUUCAAAUGUUUUUGGUUGGGGCGACCACGGAGUAUAAUUAAACCUCCAUGAGGAACAAAGACAUUCCUUUUCAUUUAAGGGUGACAACCCUAAAAAACAGAACAUCUGACCAUCUUGAUCCGGCAAAGCCGAUCAACGAACCGAGUUACCCUAGGGAUAACAGCGCAAUCCUCUUUUAGAGUCCAUAUCGACAAGAAGGUUUACGACCUCGAUGUUGGAUCAGGACAUCCUAAU